rnacentral:rRNA from 1 species
UACGUAGGGGGCUAGCGUUGUCCGGAAUUAUUGGGCGUAAAGCGCGUGUAGGCGGUUCAAUUAGUCUGCUGUGAAAGUCGAGGGCUCAACCCUCGAAUGCCGGUGGAUACUGUUGGACUAGAGUACGGAAGAGGCGAGUGGAAUUCCUGGUGUAGCGGUGAAAUGCGCAGAUAUCAGGAGGAACACCAAUUGCGAAGGCAGCUCGCUGGGACGUAACUGACGCUAAGACGCGAAAGCGUGGGGAGCAAACAGG